UUCAUCAGUUUGUUCCCUGUUUCUUCUCUAGCCUGAGCCUGACACACUAUUCUAGCUAGACAUGGGUGUGGCUCGUGACACCUGAUGACCAAAUGGAUCUACGGCACCGUCGAAUCUCAAACUUUAACUGCCAAAACUAUUGUUUUUCAUCCUGUAGUCCCUUUUAGAAUUACGAAACGUCCUUUUUUGGGCCAUGAUUUCCAGGAAUGCUUUCUCGGGGUUUGUGUGCACGUAUUUCAAACCAUACGGACCUAAAAAUUAGAAGUCAUUCCAUCUUUAUUCCCCUAGAGCCUUCCGGCAGUUCCUAAACUGCUCUAUUUGGAGCAUGUUAUCAUUCUUGUUAGUUCUGAGUGAAUUCCCUCGGUAUGAUCAUUCUUUCAUCAGUUUGUUCCCCGUUUCUUCUCUAGUCUGAGCCUAGCACACUAUUCUAGCUAUUAAUGGGUGUGGAUCGUAACACCUGAUGAGCAAACGGAUCUACGGCACCAUCGAAUCUCAAACUUUAACUGCCAAAACUAUUGUUUUUCAUUCUGUAGUCCCUUUUCGAAUUAUUAAACGUCCUUUUUUGGGCCGAGAUUUCCAGGAACGCUUUCUCGGGGUUUGUGUGCAUGUAUUUCAAAUCAUACGGACCUAAAAAUUAGAAGGCAUUCCAUCUUUAUUCCCCUAGAGACUUCCAGCAGUUCCUAAACCGCUCCAGUCGGAGCAUGUUAUCAUUCUUGUUAGUUCUGAGCGAAUUCCCUCGGUAUGAUCAUUCUAUCAUCUGUUUGUUCCCUGUUUCUUCGCUAGCCUAAGCCUGACACACUAUUCUAGGUAGACAUGGGUGUGGCUCGUGACACCUAAUGACCAAACGGAUCUACGGCACCCUCGAAUCUCAAACUUUAACUACCAAAACUAUUGUUUUUCAUUCUGUAGUCCCUUUUAGAUUACUAAACAUCCUUUUUUGGGCUGAGAUUUCCAGGAACGCUUUCUCGGGGUUUGUGUGCAUGUAUUUCAAACCAAACGUUCCUAAAAUUAGAAGUCAUUCCAUCUUAAUUCCCCUAGAGCCUUCUAGCAAUUCCUAAACAGCUCUAGUCGGAGCAUGUUAUCAUUCUUGUUAAUUCUGAGCGAAUUCCCUCCGUAUGAUCAUUCUUUCAUCAGUUUGUUCUCCGUUUCUGCUCUAGUCUGAGCCUAGCACACUAUUCUAGCUAUUAAUGGGUGUGGAUCGUAACACCUAAUGACCAAACGGAUCUACGACACCAUCGAAUCUCAAACUUUAACUGCCAAAACUAUUGUUUUUCAUCCUGUAGUCCCUUUUCGAAUUAUUAAACGUCCUUUUUUGGGCCGAGAUUUCCAGGAACGCUUUCUCGGGGUUUGUGUGGAUGUAUUUCAAAUCAUACGGACCUAAAAAUUAGAAGGCAUUCCAUCUUUAUUCCCCUAGAGCCUUCCAGCAGUUCCUANNNNNNNNNNNNNNNNNNNNNNNNNNNNNNNNNNNNNNNNNNNNNNNNNNNNNNNNNNNNNNNNNNNNNNNNNNNNNNNNNNNNNNNNNNNNNNNNNNNNNNNNUCGCUAGCCUAAGCCUGACACACUAUUCUAGCUACACAUGGGUGUGGCUCGUGACACCUAAUGACCAAACAGAUCUACGGCACCGUCGAAUCUCAAACUUUAACUACCAAAACUAUUGUUUUUCAUUCUGUAGUCCCUUUUAAAUUACUAAACGUCAUUUUUUGGGCCGAGAUUUCUAGGAACGCUUUCUCGGGGUUUGUGUGCAUGUAUUUCAAGUCAUAUGGACCUAAAAAUUAGAAUCCAUUCCAUCUUUAUUCCCCUAGAGCCUUCCAGCAGUUCCUAAACUGCUCCAGUCGGAGCACAUUAUCAUUAUUGUUAGUUCUGACUGAAUUCCCUCGGUAUGAUCAUUCUUUCAUCAGUUUGUUCCCCGUUUCUGCUCUACUCUGAGCUUAACACACUAUUCUAGCUAGGCAUGGGUGUGGCUCGUAACACCUGAUGACCAAACGGAUCUACGAUACCGUCGAAUCUCAAACUUUGACUACGAAAACUAUUGUUUUUCAUUCUAUAGUCCCUUUUAGAAUUACUAAACGUCCUUUUUUGGGCCGAGAUUUCCAGGAACGCUUUCUCGGGGUUUGUGUGCACGUAUUUCAAACAAUACGGACCUAAAAAUUAGAAUUCAUUCCAUCUUUAUUCCCCUAGAGCCUUCCAGCAGUUCCUAAACCGCUCUAGUCGGAGCACUUUAUCAUUCUUGUUAGUUCUCAGCGAAUUCCCUCGGUAUGAUCAUUCUUUCAUCAGUUUGUUCCCCAUUUCUUCUCUAGCCUGAGCCUAACACACUAUUCUAGCUACACAUGGGUGUGGCUCGUCACACCCGAUGACCAAACGGAUCUACGGCACCGUCGAAUCUCAAACUUUAACUGCCAAAACUAUUGUUUUUCAUCCUGUAGUCCCUUUUAGAAUUACUAAACGUCCUUUUUUGGGUAGAUAUUUCUAGGAACGCUUUAUCGGGGUUUGUGUGCACGUAUUUCAGACCAUACGGACCUAAAAAUUAGAAGUCAUUCCAUCUUUAUUCCCCUAUAGCCUUCCAGCAGUUCCUAAACCGCUCCAGUCGGAGCCCGUUAUCAUUCUUGUUAGUUUUGAGCGAAUUCCCUCGGUAUGAUCAUUCUUUCAUCAGUUUGUUCCCCGUUUCUUCUCUAGUCUAAGCCUAGCACACUAGUUUAGCUAGACAUGGGUGUGGCUCGUAACACCUGAUGGCCAAACGGAUCUACGGCACCGUGAAAUCUCAAACUUUAACUGCCAAAACUAUUGUUUUUCAUCCUGUAGUCCCUUUUAGAAUUACUAAACGUCCUUUUUUGGGCUGAGAUUUCCAGGAACACUUUCUCGGGGUUUGUGUGCAUGUAUUUCAAACCAUAUGGACCUAAAAAUUAGAAGUCAUUCCAUCUUUAUUCCCCUAGAGCCUUCCAACAGUCCCUAAACCGCUCCAGUCCGAGCAUGUUAUCAUUCUUGUUAGUUCUGAGUGAAUUCCCUCGGUAUGAUCAUUCUUUCAUCAGUUUGUUCCCCAUUUCUUCUCUAGUCUGAGCCUAGCUCACUAUUCUAGCUAGACAUGGGUGUGGCUCAUAAUACCUGAUGACCAAACGGAUCUACGGCACCAUCGAAUCUCAAACUUUAACUGCCAAAACAAUUGUUUUUCAUCCUGUAGUCCCUUUUAGAAUUACUAAACGUCCUUUUUUGGGCCGAGAUUUCCAGGAACGCUUUCUCGGGGUUUGUGUGCACGUAUUUCAAACCAAGCGUUCUUAAAAAUUAGAAGUCAUUCCAUCUUUAUUCCCCUAGAGCCUUACAGCAGUUCCUAAACUGCUCCAGUCGGCGCACGUUAUCAUUCUUGUUAGUUCUGAGCGAAUUCCCUCGGUAUGAUCAUUCUUUCAUCAGUUUGUUCCCCGUUUCUUCUCUAGUUUGAGCCUAGCACACUAUUCUAGCUAGACAUGGGUGUGGGUCAUAACACCUGAUGACCAAACAGAUCGACGACACCAUCGAAUCUCAAACUUUAACUGCCAAAACUAUUGUUUUUCAUCCUGUAGUCCCUUUUAGAAUUACUAAACGUCCUUUUUUGGGUCGAGAUUUCCAAGAAAGCUUUCUCGGGCUUUGUGUGCACGUAUUUCAAACCAAAAAUUUCUAAAAAUUAGAAGUCAUUCCAUCUUUAUUCCCCUAGAGCCUUCCAGCAGUUCCUAAACAGCUCCAGUCGGAGCACGUUAUCAUUCUUGUUAGUUCUGAGCGAAUUCCCUCGGUAUGAUCAUUCUUUCAUCAGUUUGUUCCCCGUUUCUUCUAUAGUCUGAGCCUAUCACACUAUUCUAGCUAGACAUGGGUGUGGCUCGUAACACCUGAUGACCAAACGGAUCUACGGCACCAUCGAAUCUAAAACUUUAACUGCCAAAACUAUUGUUUUUCAUCCUGUAGUCCCUUUAGAACUACUAAAUGUCCUUUUUUGGGCCAAGAUUUCCA
rnacentral:lncRNA from 1 species